ensembl:lncRNA
AUGUCUUGUUUCAGCUUGGGCAAACAGCGCCCUGUCCUCUUUCAAGUCGGAGAGAAGUCCAUUCCCGAGAGGGCCCACGGGCAGCAGUCUCCCUGCAACGAGGAACACUCUGGCACGGCGACCCCGGACCACGAGGAGGGCGCAGCCAGCAGCGGCUUUGUGGCGGUGAACCUCAGUCCCGUUCCCCAGGAGGGGGACUCCCAGGAGUGGGUGAUGCUGGAGCUGGAGCAAGGCGGCGGCUCCGGACCCACCAAGACUGCAGGUGAGGCCCCACGCGAGGACACGCCUGGGAGACCCGCGGCCGCUGAGACGGACCACCAGUCCUCUGAGCCACAGGACGGCCAGUCCUCAGUGGUGCCCAGCAGCCCUGUCCUGUCGCAGAUGUCCGUGCCCGGCACGUGGUUACUGGGCCACAGGAGGCUGCCGGGGAUGCUGGGACAAAUGCCCUCUGUGAUUAUGGGAAGACCCCAGAUGGACCAGUCUUCUAGCGGUGCCCCGCAGUCCCCCGUGCAGGAGAGGAGCGAUGCGAUACCGCUGGAGGCACCGUCUGAUAAAUCUGAAAAACACCCGGAGGAAACCUUAAAGGAUGGAGGGAGGUUGGACUUCGCUCCAAUCCAAAGCUCGGCCAAAGCCCCCCCCGCCCAUCUGACAAACGACAGAGACCCAGAGAGUGAUUCCGGUCUUCCCGAUCGCUCCUCAGAGCCGAAUCAGCAGCCUCAAGCCGACACAGCGGGAGGCGCUCUGGAGAGCACCGUCACCGUCUCCUCCUCUCCGCCGCCGGCUCUGCUCAGGAGACGAGGCUCUCCGUCGUCCCCGAGAUUGAGUCGGAUCCCGGUGCGAGACCCAAACAACCCCCUGGACUCUCCGAGCAGGGACCUCAACAACAUGGAGCGGCGCCACCGCUGGAGCAGUCCGGCCCCCGGCUCCCCCACCCACUCCCCCUCUCCGUCUCUGUCCUGUGACAACCUGCCUUGCGCUCUGCUGAGAGACCGGCUCCUCUCGGAGCGAUGCUCCAGGUCUGACUGUGUGGGAGAAGAGCCUCUCUCUCUGUCCUCCUCGUCGGGUAGUAAAAGUAAGAUCCCCCGCCCCGUGAGCGCCACCUUUGUACCCGAGCUACUCACCAGCAGGUUUCUGCCUCGGCCGCCACCUGGGAAGCCACCCCUGCGCCCAUGUGCGGACAACAGGUACGAUGCCGCAUAA